UGCCAGAAGGAGUAAAUGUUCUUUAUGUGAAUCUGUUUUGAAAUAUAAACACUAGACAAGCUAAUUAAGCUAAGUUUUCAUCUCUAUAGCGCUUUAUUCAGCAGAGCUUAAUGACGGAGUAGCGGCAACUUCUCAACUAAAAAUGACUGACGUGCUACGAUGACUCUCAUGAGCUGGUAGUCGAGCUCCGGGUCGCUCAUCUCCACCUCCUGCAGCUUGAAGAUCCUCUGGUGGCAGCGCUGACUCAGCUGCUUCUUCUGCUCCUUCAGACACUCAAUCAUCUGGGAAGACACAGCUGAAAGCGUUCUGGCAGACGCUGUCGACGGCGCUGCUGCGGUCGCUGCGGCCGAGUCGCAUCAGGCAGUGCAGCGUCCGGCCCUUACGGUGCAAACCGGAGCACUGGGCCUCGAUCUCCGUCCGGCAGUGAA